CUGCAGCUCACGCUGUACUAAGGUAGCACAAUCACUUGCCUUAUAAUUUAAGGACCGUAUGAAAGAAAUAACGAAUUCUAAACUCUAUCAAAAGUUAAUACUAAAAUUUUAAUAAAAGUAAAAAUACUCUUAAACAAUAAAAAGACGACAAGACCCUAUGAACUAAACUAAAGUUUUACUGGGGCGGUUAAAUAAAAAAAUCUUACUAAUUAAGACAUAAAAUAAAUAAGUUACCUUAGGGAUAACAGCACAAUUUACUUUUAAAGUUCUUAUUUAAAAGCAAGAUUAUGACCUCGAUGUUGAAUUAAAAAAUCUAUAACUAUGCAAUAAUAGUAAAAGAUAGUCUGUUCGACUAUUAAAAUUUUACA
rnacentral:rRNA from 1 species